rnacentral:rRNA from 1 species
GACGAACGCUGUCGGCGUGCUUAACACAUGCAAGUCGAACGGAAAGGCCCUGCUUUUGUGGGGUGCUCGAGUGGCGAACGGGUGAGUAACACGUGAGUAACCUGCCCUUGACUUUGGGAUAACUUCAGGAAACUGGGGCUAAUACCGGAUAGGAGCUCCUGCUGCAUGGUGGGGGUUGGAAAGUUUCGGCGGUUGGGGAUGGACUCGCGGCUUAUCAGCUUGUUGGUGGGGUAGUGGCUUACCAAGGCUUUGACGGGUAGCCGGCCUGAGAGGGUGACCGGCCACAUUGGGACUGAGAUACGGCCCAGACUCCUACGGGAGGCAGCAGUGGGGAAUAUUGCACAAUGGGCGGAAGCCUGAUGCAGCAACGCCGCGUGCGGGAUGACGGCCUUCGGGUUGUAAACCGCUUUCGCCUGUGACGAAGCGUGAGUGACGGUAAUGGGUGAAGAAGCACCGGCUAACUACGUGCCAGCAGCCGCGGUGAUACGUAGGGUGCGAGCGUUGUCCGGAUUUAUUGGGCGUAAAGGGCUCGUAGGUGGUUGAUCGCGUCGGAAGUGUAAUCUUGGGGCUUAACCCUGAGCGUGCUUUCGAUACGGGUUGACUUGAGGAAGGUAGGGGAGAAUGGAAUUCCUGGUGGAGCGGUGGAAUGCGCAGAUAUCAGGAGGAACACCAGUGGCGAAGGCGGUUCUCUGGGCCUUUCCUGACGCUGAGGAGCGAAAGCGUGGGGAGCGAACAGGCUUAGAUACCCUGGUAGUCCACGCUGUAAACGGUGGGUACUAGGUGUGGGGUCCAUUCCACGGGUUCCGUGCCGUAGCUAACGCUUUAAGUACCCCGCCUGGGGAGUACGGCCGCAAGGCUAAAACUCAAAGGAAUUGACGGGGCCCCGCACAAGCGGCGGAGCAUGCGGAUUAAUUCGAUGCAACGCGUAGAACCUUACCUGGGUUUGACAUGGAUCGGGAGUGCUCAGAGAUGGGUGUGCCUCUUUUGGGGUCGGUUCACAGGUGGUGCAUGGCUGUCGUCAGCUCGUGUCGUGAGAUGUUGGGUUAAGUCCCGCAACGAGCGCAACCCUUGUUCACUGUUGCCAGCACGUUAUGGUGGGGACUCAGUGGAGACCGCCGGGGUCAACUCGGAGGAAGGUGGGGAUGACGUCAAGUCAUCAUGCCCCUUAUGUCCAGGGCUUCACGCAUGCUACAAUGGCUGGUACAGAGAGUGGCGAGCCUGUGAGGGUGAGCGAAUCUCGGAAAGCCGGUCUCAGUUCGGAUUGGGGUCUGCAACUCGACCUCAUGAAGUCGGAGUCGCUAGUAAUCGCAGAUCAGCAACGCUGCGGUGAAUACGUUCCCGGG